AGAAGAUUCUAGGCUUCUGCUUGAACUAGACUAGAACAGAAGUGGCCAAGAACAAAGACUCACCCUCUAGUUCCUAAUCAGGCCACUCUUAGGCUUUAUGGCUUCCCAGCCCCAGAGAGUCUCUAGUCUCUGAAGGGAAGGGAAGCAGAGAGGAGGUACAGCAAUGUGACCAGCGAUGGGGCGGGGGGGCAUUCUGGACAUGCUUGCACUGCAUCGUGCCAUCAGUGGGAGAUGGGCAGGAGGAAGGCAUUGUGGGAGCCCCAGUGUCACAGGAGGUCUUUACCCAGCCCAGCUAGUGGUGCCAGCCACUGUAAGGACACGUUUUAUGGAUAGGCAUAAAAAAGCAGGGAAAACACCUGGAGACUUGAUUCCCUCUCUCCUAGGUCCCUUUGUUGCCAUUGGAAGGCAAGGCUAUGGCCAUCUCCCUGGGUAGUCAUGAUUCUGCACGGUGGUCCACGUGAGACAGGAAUGUUCUCAUAAACGGUCACAGCAGAAAAGACCGACACACUUGUGUUCAAAGCUGUAUCACCUGUUCUGAAGAUGCUCUGCAAAAGAGGGAGCUUUGAUUUUAUUGAUCCUGUGUUUUGCACUGUUUGGAAGAAAGUAGAAGCCUUCUUGGCUUGUUAUACCCAGGAGGGUGGCCAGCCUGCUCUGGGUUUCUGAGUCCUUCCGUAGCAGCACGGGAGAGACAGAGCCACACUGCACAUCACCAGGGGACAGCUGAGGUGGGUGCUGUUAGAACUCCACGCAUCCCCCUUGGCCUUGGAACAAAAAGACAGAUAAGAAGGUGAAGUACAAGGACAGAGGGCGUGGGCCUGGCGCUGUAGAGACUGUCAUCCAGCCCCGGGGCUGAGGGAACGCUGCAACUUCUUACCGUGCUUCUGCUGUCUUCUAGGAAAGAGGACAGAACAGCCAGGGAGGGUUGAAGCUGUAGAAGGCUGUUCUUUUCUUAAAAAAAAAAAAAAAAAAAAAAAAAAA